ACUAGGUGCAGGGCACCGUUGUAAGCGCUGGGGUAAAUACAGGGGAAUGAGGUUGUCCCACGUGAGGCUCACAGUCUUCAUCCCCAUUUUACAGAUGAGGGAACUGAGGCACAGAGAAGUGAAGUGACUUGCCCACGGUCACACAGCUGAGAAGGGGCGGAGUCGGGAUUCGAACCCAAGACCUCCGACUCCCAAGCCCGGGCUCUUUCCACCGAGCCACGCUGCUUCUCUGGGGGGUAGAUACCAUUUAAUCAGGGUGGACACGGUCCAUGUCCCACAUGGGGCUCGCCCUCCUAAUCCCCAUUUAGCAGAUGAGGUACCCGGACCCAGAGAAGUUAGGUGACUUACCCAGGGUCACACAGCAGACAGGUGGCGGAGCCAGGAUUGGAACCCAGGUCCUCUCGGAGGCGAGGUGCCUUCAAUAAGACCUCGAAGUUGGGGAAGCACCUCACACCCCUGGGGCCGGUCUCAGUAUUGUCAGCAUCCUCUUGGAGCCGAAGGAUACCAACGCUGCCGUAGAUCCCCUUGGGGUACGCUUGAUUCGUAUCUAGGGCACGGACUCGGGAUAAGGCAGCAGGAGAGCAACGGGUCGAGAAGUUCCUUCUGGACCCUGGUUGGCGUCAACCGGCAAGGGACAUCUCAGGAGGGGAUCCUGCACCAGCCUGCUGAGAUCGAACAGCCGCUCUUCACGGUGGCUCUUAUUCUGGGUCCUCGUCCGUUUUCAAAUGAGCAGCAGUCCCGGGCCUAAGGCUGUUGGUUGAAAGGGCACGCGUGAGCUGUCUGCCCUUUCAGAACCGGCGCUGAGAAAUUCUGGCUGUGCCUGACCUUGCGGAUUAUGGCAACUGCAACUUCAAAUUCUCUGAAGGUUCAGCUCCGGGGCCUGGGCCUAAGAUUCAUCCACCCGUGUGGAACAGAUUCGGGAGACUGCCUGCAUAUGCUCAGGACAGUUAAAGUUUGCCCGGUGCACACUGGCUCGGAGAAUCAUAUCGCCGGGAGGGACCUCUCCUCCUCCCUCCGUUCAAGUGACCAGGACAGUCGGAUGGCUAUUCCUUAUAUUUGUUUCCAUCUCCAGGAACGAAGACUCCACAACUUCCCUCGGUGGCCCGGGCCCUACGUUGCACUGUACCCAGUCAGCCUGGUUUCCGUUGCCUUUUUAACAUCGUUACGGAUUUUUAUCAGAGAAACGACUCUGAUCUCGCAAUCGCAUGAGAGGGGGUUUCGUGACCUUGGUGUAGAAAUGAACGGGCUCGAGAGAGCGAGCCGAGAGAGCGGGAAAGGGCGGAGAGUGGCUGCCGCCCGUUGACCCCGGGGCGGGGGGGGGGGGGGGGGGGGGUACGAGUGACGAACAGCCACGAGCCGACCCGAACCCGGCACCUUUAUUUGCAAGCCUUUCCGCCUUCCACUCGACCGCAACUCUUCCAGCGCGCACCCCAAAUCCCACCCAAUCCCCUCGCGUUGCCCGUUCUCCACCCUUCGAUCAGAACCAGUCCUUAGGAGUGGUCCGUAUAAGGGAAUGUAACUGACGCGUCGUUACCCAGACUUAACUGAUCUACCGCAGGAAGGAGAUUAAAUGGAGACAGGAUGUCUAGCACAGUAUUGGAAGGAGAUAGAACGGAGACAGGAUGGUCAAUCGCCUAGUACAAUAUGGGAAGGAGACAGAACAGAGACAGGAUGGUAAAUCGUCCAGUACAGUAUUUUGGAUGUUCCUCCCCGGCCCCUCUUCUGUCUUCCUCAGCUUCGGCCACGAUAUUCUAGUAAACACCUGACAGUAUCCAGUUUAGAGAAAGGUUGGCCUAAAACGAUUAUAAUGACAGUAAUUAUUGUAUUGGUUAAGCGUUUACUAUGAGCCAGACAUUGUUCCAAGCGCUGGGGUAGGUACGAGUUAAUCAGGUCUUUCAUUCAUUCAUUCAUUCAAUCGUCUUUAUCGAGUGCUCACUGUGUGCAGAGGACUGUACAAGCGCCUGGGAGAGUACAGUACAACACUGAACAGACACAUUCCCUGCCCGCAGUGAGUUCACAGCCUCGGGAGGCGAGGGGGAGACAGACCUUAAUAUAAAUAGAUCAAUUCCAGAUAGGUACGUAAAUGUUGCGGGGCUGGGAAGGGGGAAGAAGAAAGGG
rnacentral:lncRNA from 1 species